rnacentral:snRNA from 1 species
AGAAAAACUGAUCCUGCUCUUGUUCAAGAUCAUUUCUUUGGCUUCCCCAUCUGGCACCCCAUUGAUUGCCACAGUUGACUAGGCUGGUUAGGCUGACUAUCAGGGUGUCUCCUUCCUUUCCCAUGUCCUAUAUAUGUCCCUCUGGAAGCUGAGUGCUCUUUGGAAAGGGAUUUGUUUCUGUGGUGGAGAAGUGUCUGCUUUAGUAGAGUGUACAGAUGGUUGUCCUUCCGUUAGAUCCUUCAUACCGGGCCUCAAGGUCCAAAUGCAACCAUGCAAAGCAUGCCAUUCAUUGUGAGUGAUUCAAAUAAAAUAAAGCUGAGAUACCGCCUAUAC